ACAAUGGAGAGUUUGAUCCUGGCUCAGGAUGAACGCUAGCGGCAGGCUUAAUACAUGCAAGGCGAGGGGGCAGCAAUGUCAC
rnacentral:ncRNA from 2 species